AGAGUUUGAUCCUGGCUCAGGACGAACGCUGGCGGCGUGCCUAACACAUGCAAGUCGAACGGAACUGUUUUGAAAGAUUUCUUCGGAAUGAAUUUGAUUUAGUUUAGUGGCGGACGGGUGAGUAACGCGUGAGUAACCUGCCUUCAAGAGGGGGAUAACAUUCUGAAAAGAAUGCUAAUACCGCAUGACAUAUCGGAACCACAUGGUUUUGAUAUCAAAGAUUUUAUCGCUUGAAGAUGGACUCGCGUCCGAUUAGUUAGUUGGUGAGGUAACGGCUCACCAAGACCGCGAUCGGUAGCCGGACUGAGAGGUUGAACGGCCACAUUGGGACUGAGACACGGCCCAGACUCCUACGGGAGGCAGCAGUGGGGAAUAUUGCACAAUGGGGGAAACCCUGAUGCAGCGACGCCGCGUGGAGGAAGAAGGUCUUCGGAUUGUAAACUCCUGUUGUUGAGGAAGAUAAUGACGGUACUCAACAAGGAAGUGACGGCUAACUACGUGCCAGCAGCCGCGGUAAAACGUAGGUCACAAGCGUUGUCCGGAAUUACUGGGUGUAAAGGGAGCGCAGGCGGGAAGACAAGUUGGAAGUGAAAUCCAUGGGCUCAACCCAUGAACUGCUUUCAAAACUGUUUUUCUUGAGUAGUGCAGAGGUAGGCGGAAUUCCCGGUGUAGCGGUGGAAUGCGUAGAUAUCGGGAGGAACACCAGUGGCGAAGGCGGCCUACUGGGCACCAACUGACGCUGAGGCUCGAAAGUGUGGGUAGCAAACAGGAUUAGAUACCCUGGUAGUCCACACCGUAAACGAUGAUUACUAGGUGUUGGAGGAUUGACCCCUUCAGUGCCGCAGUUAACACAAUAAGUAAUCCACCUGGGGAGUACGACCGCAAGGUUGAAACUCAAAGGAAUUGACGGGGGCCCGCACAAGCAGUGGAGUAUGUGGUUUAAUUCGACGCAACGCGAAGAACCUUACCAAGUCUUGACAUCCUGCGACGGUGCUGGAAACAGUACUUUCCUUCGGGACGCAGAGACAGGUGGUGCAUGGUUGUCGUCAGCUCGUGUCGUGAGAUGUUGGGUUAAGUCCCGCAACGAGCGCAACCCUUGCUAUUAGUUGCUACGCAAGAGCACUCUAAUAGGACUGCCGUUGACAAAACGGAGGAAGGUGGGGACGACGUCAAAUCAUCAUGCCCCUUAUGACCUGGGCUACACACGUACUACAAUGGCCGUUAACAGAGGGAAGCAAUACCGUGAGGUGGAGCCAAACCCUAAAAACGGUCCCAGUUCGGAUUGUAGGCUGAAACUCGCCUACAUGAAGUUGGAAUUGCUAGUAAUCGCGGAUCAGCAUGCCGCGGUGAAUACGUUCCCGGGCCUUGUACACACCGCCCGUCACACCAUGGGAGUCGGUAACACCCGAAGCCAGUAGCCUAACCGCAAGGAGGGCGCUGUCGAAGGUGGGAUUGAUGACUGGGGUGAAGUCGUAACAAGGUAGCCGUAUCGGAAGGUGCGGCUG
rnacentral:rRNA from 1 species